UACGUAGGGGGCUAGCGUUGUCCGGAAUCAUUGGGCGUAAAGCGCGUGUAGGCGGUCCGGUAAGUCCGCUGUGAAAGUCGGGGGCUCAACCCUCGAAAGCCGGUGGAUACUGUCGGGCUAGAGUACGGAAGAGGCGAGUGGAAUUCCUGGUGUAGCGGUGAAAUGCGCAGAUAUCAGGAAGAACACCAAUGGCGAAAGCAGCUCUCUGGGACGGUACUGACGCUGAGACGCGAAAGCGUGGGGAGCGAACAGG
rnacentral:rRNA from 1 species